GUGGUGGAUAUUUUCUUUUGGUGUUGUUCAUUAAAAGAUGAAGGGCCGUUGGAGGUACUGCUCACCAAGGUGAAGGGCUGUUGGAGGUGCUGUUCAUCAAAAAGUGAAGGACAGUUCUUCGUUGGUGCUAUUCGCUUAAGAAUAAAGUGCCGUUCUUCAUUGGCGCUGUUCGUUUAAGAGCGAAGGACCUCUUUAUUGGCACUAUUCACUUAAGAGCGAAGGAUCAAGGUCUUUAUUGGUACUAUUUACUUAAUAGCAAAGGGCCGUUCUUUGGUGCUGUUCGCUGAAGAGCGAGUUCGCUUAAUAGCGAAGAGCCAUUCAUCGAUGCUGUUCGCUGAAGA
rnacentral:lncRNA from 1 species